rnacentral:lncRNA from 1 species
ACUUGAGACAUGCUCGGGGCAUCAUCCUGCGGCAAUAGAAAUCUCACCUUGCGACAUCGUCUCUCGUCCUCCCGAGUCUCCUAUCUCGUGCCCGAUCUGCCUCCUGGAGCUCCACCUCGCUCUGGGCUCCGCCUAGCUCCCGAAGCUCCACCUCGCACUGGGCUCCCCGUCAGAUAAUAAUGUCUUCUGCUCCCCUUCUUUCCCUCCA